UGGGGAAUCUUGCGCAAUGCGCGAAAGCGUGACGCAGCAACGCCGCGUGGGGGAAGAAGGCCUUCGGGUUGUAAACCUCUUUCAGUUGGGACGAAGCCUUGCGGGUUAAUAGCCCGUUGAGGUGACGGUACCUUCAGAAGAAGCCCCGGCUAACUACGUGCCAGCAGCCGCGGUAAUACGUAGGGGGCAAGCGUUGUCCGGAAUCAUUGGGCGUAAAGAGCGUGUAGGCGGCCCGAUAAGUCCGCUGUGAAAGUCCAGGGCUCGACCCUGGAAUGCCGGUGGAUACUGUCGGGCUCGAAUCCGGAAGAGGUGAGUGGAAUUCCUGGUGUAGCGGUGAAAUGCGCAGAUAUCAGGAGGAACACCAAUGGCGAAGGCAGCUCACUGGGACGGUAUUGACGCUGAGACGCGAAAGCGUGGGGAGCAAAC
rnacentral:rRNA from 1 species